rnacentral:rRNA from 1 species
CCUCAAAUCAGGUAGGACUACCCGCUGAACUUAAGCAUAUCAAUAAGCGGAGGAAAAGAAACUAACAAGGAUUCCCCUAGUAACUGCGAGUGAAGCGGGAAAAGCUCAAAUUUAAAAUCUGGCGGCUUCGCCGUCCGAGUUGUAAUCUGGAGAAGCGUUUUCCGUGUUGGACCGUGUACAAGUCUCUUGGAACAGGGCGUCAUAGAGGGUGAGAAUCCCGUCUUUGACACGGACUACCAAUGCUUUGUGAUACGCUCUCGAAGAGUCGAGUUGUUUGGGAAUGCAGCUCAAAAUGGGUGGUAAAUUCCAUCUAAAGCUAAAUAUUGGCGAGAGACCGAUAGCGAACAAGUACCGUGAGGGAAAGAUGAAAAGCACUUUGGAAAGAGAGUUAAACAGUACGUGAAAUUGUUGAAAGGGAAACGCUUGAAGUCAGUCGCGUUGUCCGGGACUCAGCCUUGCUUCUGCUUGGUGUAUUUCCUGGUUGACGGGCCAACAUCGAUUUUGGACGGCGGAUAAAGGUGAGGGGAAUGUGGCAUCCUCGGAUGUGUUAUAGCCUCUCGUCGGAUGCGUCGUCUGGGAUCGAGGACCGCAGCACGCCUUUUUGGCCGGGGUUCGCCCACGUAACGUGCUUAGGAUGUUGGCAUAAU